UUUAUUUAUGUAUUUUUGUCACUGUGAACAUGUCUACACGACGAGUGUCGGUGUCUGAGCUUCUUUGAGAGGCGGCUGAUCGGCUUGAAGAAAUAGAGCACUCAAGUUCAUCUGGCACUUCAUCUGGCACUGCAUCUAGCACUUCAUCUAGCACUCCAUCUGGCACUUCAUCUGGCACUCCAUCUGGCACUUCAUCUGGCACUGCAUCUGGCACUUCAUCUGGCACUGCAUCUAGCACUUCAUCUAGCACUCCAUCUGGCACUUCAUCUAGCACUCCAUCUGGCGCUUCAGGGGGUCGAGUAGGCCUACACCCUGUUGAUGGUAAUUGAGAAAGCUCACAAGAAUUUGUGGAGUUCAUCUUAACUUCGUUUCCAAAGUUGAGAGACGCGAGCGGGUUCGAGCUGCUGAAAAUUGAACAGGUCCUAACCACCCUUUUCACCCUUCAGUGCCUUCUGCACCAUGGACGUCUGAGAAAACCUCCUACAUGGUGCGCACGACCCAGAAUACCCUGGAAGCCUACCGCUACAUUGACUGUGGUUCCAACUCCACGGUUCACCAGUCCCCACGCAGACCGUGGCAGUAAAACUCCCUCCCCCACCCACUACAGUCACCACCAGCCACAGUGAUGAGUGAUAGGGUCACAGGGACCAUUGGUGCUCGCCAAGGUGCUGGUAGCCAGACCACAAGAACCAAUUCAGUCCGAGCAUUUGUUUCGACUGCAGGAUUAUUAGGCUUGAUCACUUGCCUACGUCAAUGCAUAAAACAUUAGCUCUUCAGUAAAUUAUAUUUAACUGUUGUGCAUUUGACUGAUGUUCAGGGUAUGACUAAUUUACAGCCUCCUGUAGCUUCAACAUCCUUGAUUUUAGGAGUUAAUUAGUUAACCUUGACUUGAUCAUAGUAACUGGUGUUACUACUGAAUUAUGACUGUAUCCUGCUGUGCUAGUCGUUUUAUUUGUAACAUUGAGAGCAUCCUAUAACAUUUUAGGAAGGUCCUUUAGCGUGGGUUCAUGUGAUUUAAGGUGCUUGGCAUAGUAACAAUGUAUAAAGCGACUGACAUUGUGUUGCGCAAGAAGGGAGAUUUGUUCUUUGCUAUUUAUAUAGGGGACUUGACAAGACUAGUUAAGGGAUGUGCUUAAGGCAAUUUAUUGACUCCAAUGCUUCCCACAGUUGUGUCAAGUUGGCUGGUUGUCCUUUGGGUGGUGGACCAUUGUUGAUGGACAUGGGAAACUGUUGAGUGUGAAAAACCCAGCAGCGUUGCGGUUUCUGACACAAACCGUUACUCCUAGCACCUACUACCAUAGCCUGCUCAAAGGCAUUUAGAAAUGUUGUCUUGCCCAUUCACCCCCAAGCCAUAAGACUCCUGAACAUCUAGUCAAAUGGCUACCCAGACUAUUUGCAUUGACGUCUGGACGUCUGUCUGGAGGCCCAGCUUGGACAUAACUCCGUAGUGGCUUGUAAAAGGGAUCUUUGUAAUGUCAACUGCUGUGGUAUUAACCAGGUCAGGAUAACUUUAAUUACAUGAACUCACUCACUGUCCUAUUAUGUUGAGCAUCCUGCUAAUGUUGUUUACAUUCCAAAGCACACCCUCUUGUUGUCAUAGACCUACAUAGAAUAAGCUAAUGUAAUGGCUUGAAAUGUAGUUUCAGAGUUGUAUUUCGAGAACGUUAAAAAGUUGUACGUUUGUGUGGUAUUUCCAAGUUUGCGGAUUGGCUGUUUAAUUUGAAGAGUGUUAUUGCACUAAAUGGCAAUAGAGAUGGCCUGAGUGCCUGUCUGUUUGACAAUGACUGACAGGGAGUUGGCAUGAAAAUGACAGCAAUGAGUUGACAAGAGCACAAAGAUCAUGGGACGAGGCUACAAUGGAGAAAGGUGAAAUUAAAAUGGAUGAUGUGCG
rnacentral:lncRNA from 1 species